rnacentral:rRNA from 1 species
AUUGAACGCUGGCGGCAGGCCUAACACAUGCAAGUCGAGCGGAUGAAGGGAGCUUGCUCCUGGAUUCAGCGGCGGACGGGUGAGUAAUGCCUAGGAAUCUGCCUGGUAGUGGGUGAUAACGUCCGGAAACGGGCGCUAAUACCGCAUAAGUCCUGAGGGAGAAAGUGGGGGAUCUUCGGACCUCACGCUAUCAGAUGAGCCUAGGUCGGAUUAGCUAGUUGGUGGGGUAAAGGCCUACCAAGGCGACGAUCCGUAACUGGUCUGAGAGGAUGAUCAGUCACACUGGAACUGAGACACGGUCCAGACUCCUACGGGAGGCAGCAGUGGGGAAUAUUGGACAAUGGGCGAAAGCCUGAUCCAGCCAUGCCGCGUGUGUGAAGAAGGUCUUCGGAUUGUAAAGCACUUUAAGUGGGGAGGAAGGGCAGUAAGUUAAUACCUUGCUGUUUUGACGUUACCAACAGAAUAAGCACCGGCUAACUUCGUG